GGAGUUGAAGCUAAGUGGUAAAGUGCUUGCUUAGCAUGCAUAAGGCCCUAGGUUUGAUUCCCAGCACCA
rnacentral:tRNA from 1 species